UGGGGAAUAUUGCACAAUGGGGGAAACCCUGAUGCAGCGACGCCGCGUGAAGGAAGAAGUAUUUCGGUAUGUAAACUUCUAUCAGCAGGGAAGAAAAUGACGGUACCUGAGUAAGAAGCACCGGCUAAAUACGUGCCAGCAGCCGCGGUAAUACGUAUGGUGCAAGCGUUAUCCGGAUUUACUGGGUGUAAAGGGAGCGUAGACGGAUAGGCAAGUCUGGAGUUAAAACCCAGGGCUCAACCCUGGGACUGCUUUGGAAACUGCAGAUCUGGAGUGCCGGAGAGGUAAGCGGAAUUCCUAGUGUAGCGGUGAAAUGCGUAGAUAUUAGGAGGAACACCAGUGGCGAAGGCGGCUUACUGGACGGUGACUGACGUUGAGGCUCGAAAGCGUGGGGAGCAAACAGG
rnacentral:rRNA from 1 species